AUUGAACGCUGGCGGCAUGCCUAACACAUGCAAGUCGAGCGGAGCGGCGGACGGGUGAGUACUGCCUAGUAAUCUGCCUGGUAGUUAGGGAUAACGUCCGGAAACGGGCGCUAAUACCACAUACUAUCAGAUUAGCCUCGGUCGGAUUAGCUAGUUGGUGGGGUAAAGGACUACCAAGGCGACGAUCCGUAACGGGUCUGAGAGGAUGAUCAGUCACACUGGAACUGAGACACGGUCCAGACGCCUACGGGAGGCAGCAGUGGGGAAUAUUGGACAAUGGGCGAAAGCCUGAUCCAGCCAUGCCGCGUGUGUGAAGAAGGUCUUCGGAUUGUAAAGCACUUUAAGUAGGGAGGCGUUACCAACAGAAGAAGCACCGGCUAACUUCGUGCCAGCAGCCGCGGUAAUAC
rnacentral:rRNA from 1 species